rnacentral:rRNA from 1 species
UCUACGGGAGGCAUCAGUGAGGAAUAUUGGUCAAUGGGCGCGAGCCUGAACCAGCCAAGUAGCGUGAAGGAUGACUGCCCUACGGGUUGUAAACUUCUUUUAUAAAGGAAUAAAGUGAGGCACGUGUGCCUUUUUGUAUGUACUUUAUGAAUAAGGAUCGGCUAACUCCGUGCCAGCAGUCGCGGUAAUACGGAGGAUCCGAGCGUUAUCCGGAUUUAUUGGGUUUAAAGGGAGCGUAGAUGGGUUGUUAAGUCAGUUGUGAAAGUUUGCGGCUCAACCGUAAAAUUGCAAUUGAUACUGGCAGUCUUGAGUACAGUUGAGGUAGGCGGAAUUCGUGGUGUAGCGGUGAAAUGCUUAGAUAUCACGAAGAACUCCGAUUGCGAAGGCAGCUUACUAAACUGCCACUGACAUUGAUGCUCGAAAGUGUGGGUAUCAAACAGGAUUAGAUACCCUUGUAGUC